rnacentral:misc_RNA from 1 species
GAUGAAGAACGCAGUGAAAUGCGAUAAGUAAUGUGAAUUUCAGAAUUCAGUGAAUCAUCGAAUCUUUGAACGCACCUUGCACCCUUUGGCAUUCCGAAGGGUAUGCUCGUUUGAGUGUCAUUGUACUCUCACUCUCCCGAUGCUUUUGGAUCGGGAGUGGUGGACUUGGGUGUUGCUGCUUUGCUGUGGCUCGCCUCAAAUGGAGUAGUGCAACUCUUGGUUGGACAUAGUACGGCGUGAUAAGUGUCUUCGCCGGCGCCUCAUUAUAGAGGGUGGCCGAUCGGGAGCUCUGUGCUUCAAUCCGUCUUCGGACAACAUCUGACAACUUGACCUCAAAUCGAGUAGGACUACCCGCUGAACUUAAGCAUAUCAAUAAGCGGAGGA